UUCGUACCUCCUUUAAUCUGAUCACCUAGUAUUUCUACACUACUAUUACAAAUACUGGCCUUCAUCCAAUUUAAUCCCAAAUAAUAGUUAUUAAUCCAUUAUGUUAAACCAGUUUUCUUUCCAGUUUUUCCAUUCUAUUGUGAGGGAUAAAUCAUCAAUAGCGUCUAGAUUUACUAAUGGCCUAUUUUUCCCUCCUUUUGGUACUCCGGUAUUUAUGCUUAUUGUAACGGUAACAAAGGGUGAGGAAGCAAGUGCAAGAGUGAAACAAAUAGGUUUAUUAAAGUCCGGUAUACAAAUAAAUCCAGGGGGAACAACAGAUGGUCGCGGUGAUGACUGACGGUGAUCCCGUAAGUGGCGGUGAGGUGAGGCAGCAGGAGAGCGUGACACAGGCCUGAGAUGAGCAGUCCGUGGUGGUGAGUAGUGGCAUCCGGUGGUGAAGAGUGGACGGGGUUCCAGGGUCAGACGAACAGCGAUGACGAGAAACCAGGCAGACGAACAGCGAUGACGAGAAACCAGGCAGACGAACGGGAGACUUCAUACAACGCUCUGACAAACACAAGACGAAAGACAGGGCAAUAAAUAGGGAUCGGGUAAUGAGUAACAGCUGGUGCCAAUGAACAAUCAACGGAGACGCCCACAUGAAACAAUCAGUGCUGACGAGCAACACACACAAACUCCACCCACAUAGUGCACACCCGAGACCACGGUUUACUAACCGUGACACUUAUAAAAGCAGGUCCAUAAAACAUAUUACAAUUUUGAUACUUAUCUACUAAUCUAAUGACCCCUCCUGCCCCGUAACUUAUCUCAUACCUAUUAGCUAACUUACUCCUCUUUAAAGUCCAGGGCAGCGGGACUAUACUUGCACUCCAGUAACACAGAACUGUAGCCACUUGAUUAAUAGUCAAAGGAUCAAAAUCUUUAGAGCAGCUACUGUAGGGUGACCAUAUGCGCCGUUCAUACGGGACACGUCCCGGCCAGAUUUUAAUAUUGCCUAAAACGUCCAAAGCAGUUUGACCAAUAACAUGCAGGUAUUAUACAUAAUCGACCAAUCGUGGGGCUGCGCGUGAGAAGGCGAGAUCUACAUGGAACAAUCAAAGCGAUGCAAUAUGCGCACGUGUUCGUUCGUUCGUUCGUUUGAUAGAAUCGUCACUGCUCAAAAAGACAGCAAAGUAGGUGCGAGAGCGAUCCGAAAGCAUAAGGAGCCGUCUGCUCUGCUCUCUAGCUCUCAUGAAUGUCGCACAACGAUCGACCUGCAAACAGCCAAAACCUGGAUAUUUUAGGCAAUAUUAAAAUCCUGGCCGGGACGUGUCCCGUAUAAACGGCGCAUAUGGUCACCCUAAGCUACUGAUAAUUUUUCCACACUCCGCACCUUUCAAACCAUAAACUGCGUCAUAAAAGAAAACUAAAUUAUUCCUAUAUACUCCCUUCUCAUCUUUCUUCCUUCUUAUAUUCAAUCUUUUCAAAUAUAAUUUCCUUUUUACACUUAAAAUUUCACUCGUCAGGUUUCCAGUAAAAGGGUCGGUACCGUUUAGGAAAUCACUACAAUCCAUAUUUUCUCUAUCUUUGUCACAAAAACUAGCAUACGAAAAAUCAUUAUAAUCAGUCUUCGUGUAUUUAUACUUUUGUCCGUGGUUUCCACGACUAAUUUCUUUCCUAACACAUUUAUCCAUUUGUUUCACUCUAUUCUCUUAAUAGUCUUUUAUUUCACUUUCGGUUUUAACCAUGUCGUUUAGUUUCAUUUUCACUAAAUACACUUCUGUUUUUCACUUAUGUUCAUCUAAGUCCCAGCAACCAAUUUUAAAAUUAUAUUUGACUCUGGGUAUGGUCAUUACUCUCUUCCAUAUCCACGGUAUUAUAUUAUUUAAUUCCAAAUCAAUUUUUGUAGUGGACCUAGACUCUAACUCUGCAUAACCUGUCUUUCGUGACCCUACAUGUCUGUCCCUAACAGUUGUUAAUAGAUAAUAGAGUUAAUAUUGUUAAUAACUAUUGUUAAUAGUUAAUAGAGCAAAUUCACCCUCCGGAUUCGAAAUUUGACUAAUUCUUAUCCACUCUUCUACAUUCUUUAUUUUCUCUGCAUAUUUUAAUUUAUCGAUUUUACUUUCUCUUUUGCUACUUUCUAUUUUACUUUCUCUUUUGCUUUUAACUUUUCCUUCAUAUUUACACUGUCCAAUCUUCCGUGGAUCAAAAUGUUUGCGUGAUCUAAAUAUCCAACAUCCUCCCAGCUCUUAGCUGGAACUGGUCCUGUAAGUUCGUCCUAUAAAAUAAUGAACGGUUUUAUUUCCUUCACGCUCUUAAAUGUAACUAUUUUCCUCAAAUAUUUCGGUUUCCCUUUUGUGCCAUUGUCUCAUUUUUACUGUGCUUUUAAGCUUAACCUUGGGUGUAAGGACCAUAUAAUAACUUGUCUUGUCAGUACUAAUAUUAUCUAACCAUUUCCAAAAAUACUAACGUAUUAUUUUCUAUUUCCUUUCUCUUUUUCCUCGAGGUUCCCCAUACGGAUAAUUCAAAUCCUGUUAUAGUUUGCCUUUGGACUUCCACUUCCGCUAAAAUAAUACUUCCCGAUAAUAUUUCCCACUUACACUUAUUAAGAUUAGCAAAAACACAAUUACUCCUAAUAAAAACCAUAAAAUGAUACUUAUCCAUCUGCAGCACUGUCGUUGUUUCUUCAACUUUCUGAUGGUCUUCCGAGCUUCGCCCAACUCUUCUGGAAGACUUUCUAAUGACGGCGAGCAUCUCAUUUUUCUGUAAACAGAGAUUAGUUUUGUAGCGGUCUUCUCCUCAGGAUUCCCUUCUUUAUCACCUUUACGUCCGGUUGAUCAUGAUGCACUUCAACUUCAAUACCCCCCAGCCAAUCGAAGUCGGGAUGAGCACAUAGCAACACAUUUGUCCGAAAAUGCAUCACGAUCAUGAAAGUCUCUCCAGAGACUUCCAUAUUUGGGUUUCACUUUCAGUGAGAGACAGAUCCUUCUCUUGAUCUUUCCUCUUAAUCUUGCGAACUAACUCCUCCCUCUCUUGGAUAGCUCUGUCUCUCAUCUCCUUUCCAUCACUCGGAAAUAUGGGCAUUCUUGAAAAGCCCUUUUCUCAUGUUCCCUCAUCCCUAAAUAUGGAUGUCUACAGAACCUGGACAUUAUUCCAUCCUGAAUAAUCCCAG
ensembl:lncRNA